rnacentral:rRNA from 1 species
UACGUAGGGGGCAAGCGUUGUCCGGAAUCAUUGGGCGUAAAGAGCGUGUAGGCGGCCAGAUAAGUCCGCUGUGAAAUCUCGAGGCUCAACUUCGAGCUGUCGGUGGAAACUGUCUGGCUAGAGUCCGGAAGAGGAGAAUGGAAUUCCUGGUGUAGCGGUGAAAUGCGCAGAUAUCAGGAAGAACACCCGUGGCGAAGGCGGUCUCUGGACGGUACUGACGCUGAGACGCGAAAGCGUGGGGAGCGAACAGG